GAUGAACGCUGGCGGCGUGCCUAAUACAUGCAAGUCGAGCGAACGGACGAGAAGCUUGCUUCUCUGAUGUUAGCGGCGGACGGGUGAGUAACACGUGUAUAACCUACCUAUAAGACUGGGAUAACUUCGGGAAACCGGAGCUAAUACCGGAUAAUAUUUUGAACCGCAUGGUUCAAAAGUGAAAGACGGUCUUGCUGUCACUUAUAGAUGGAUCCGCGCUGCAUUAGCUAGUUGGUAAGGUAACGGCUUACCAAGGCAACGAUGCAUAGCCGACCUGAGAGAGUGAUCGGCCACACUGGAGCUGAGACACGGUCCAGACUCCUACGGGAGGCAGCAGUAUGGAAUCUUCCGCAAUGGGCGAGAGCCUGACGGAACAACGCCGCGUGAGUGAUGAAGGUCUUCGGAUCGUAAAACUCUGUUAUUAGGGAAGAACAUAUGUGUCAGUAACUGUGGACAUCUUGACGGUACCGAGUCAGAAAGCCACGGCUAACUACGUG
rnacentral:rRNA from 1 species